AGUGAACGCUGGCGGUAGGCCUAACACAUGCAAGUCGAACGGCAGCACAGUAAGAGCUUGCUCUUACGGGUGGCGAGUGGCGGACGGGUGAGGAAUACAUCGGAAUCUACUUUUUCGUGGGGGAUAACGUAGGGAAACUUACGCUAAUACCGCAUACGACCUACGGGUGAAAGCAGGGGAUCUUCGGACCUUGCGCGAUUGAAUGAGCCGAUGUCGGAUUAGCUAGUUGGCGGGGUAAAGGCCCACCAAGGCGACGAUCCGUAGCUGGUCUGAGAGGAUGAUCAGCCACACUGGAACUGAGACAAGGUCCAGACUCCUACGGGAGGCAGCAGUGGGGAAUAUUGGAGAAAGGGCGCAAGCCUGAUCCAGCCAUACCGCGUGGGGGAAGAAGGCCUUCGGGUGGUAAAGCCCUUUUGUUGGGAAAGAAAAGCAGCAGGUUAAUACCCCGCUGUUCUGACGGUACCCAAAGAAUAAGCACCGGCUAACUUCGUG
rnacentral:rRNA from 1 species